UUAUACAGCGAAACUGCGAAUGGCUCAUUAUAUAAGUUAUCGUUUAUUUGAUAGUACCUUACUACUUGGAUAACCGUGGUAAUUCUAGAGCUAAUACAUGCUAAAAAUCCCGACUUCGGAAGGGAUGUAUUUAUUAGAUUAAAAACCAAUGCCCUCUGGGCUCUCUGGUGAUUCAUAAUAACUUCUCGAAUCGCAUGGCCUUGCGCCGGCGAUGGUUCAUUCAAAUUUCUUCCCUAUCAACUUUCGAUGUUUGGGUAGUGGCCAAACAUGGUUGCAACGGGUAACGGAGGGUUAGGGCUCGACCCCGGAGAAGGAGCCUGAGAAACGGCUACUACAUCCAAGGAAGGCAGCAGGCGCGCAAAUUACCCAAUCCCGAUUCGGGGAGGUAGUGACAAUAAAUACUGAUACAGGGCUCUUUUGGGUCUUGUAAUUGGAAUGAGUACAAUUUAAAUCCCUUAACGAGGAACAAUUGGAGGGCAAGUCUGGUGCCAGCAGCCGCGGUAAUUCCAGCUCCAAUAGCGUAUAUUAAAGUUGUUGUGGUUAAAAAGCUCGUAGUUGAACCUUGGGCCUGGCUGGCCGGUCCGCCUCACCGCGUGUACUGGUCCGGCCGGGCCUUUCCCUCUGUGGAACCCCAUGCCCUUCACUGGGUGUGGCGGGGAAACAGGACUUUUACUUUGAAAAAAUUAGAGUGCUCCAGGCAGGCCUAUGCUCGAAUACAUUAGCAUGGAAUAAUGAAAUAGGACGUGCGGUUCUAUUUUGUUGGUUUCUAGGACCGCCGUAAUGAUUAAUAGGGACAGUCGGGGGCAUCAGUAUUCAAUUGUCAGAGGUGAAAUUCUUGGAUUUAUUGAAGACUAACUACUGCGAAAGCAUUUGCCAAGGAUGUUUUCAUUAAUCAGGAACGAAAGUUAGGGGAUCGAAGACGAUCAGAUACCGUCGUAGUCUUAACCAUAAACUAUGCCGACUAGGGAUCGGACGAUGUUAUUUUUUGACUCGUUCGGCACCUUACGAGAAAUCAAAGUGC
rnacentral:rRNA from 1 species